AGGAGGAAGAGAAAGGACAUGCAUCUUUAAACUACACCUACCUUCAUUUACAGAGAGCAUACUUAGCCUGAGUUUAAAAGGCUGUAUAAUUUGCAACACCUGGCACUGAAGAGGAUCUAAAGGUCAAAUGGUGGACACUGAAGAGAAUGAGAUGGAACAGAGUGCAGAAUAUCAAGACUGGUAAUGAGGCAUAAAUGAGAAAGAACAUAUUGUGGACUUCAGAAUCCCAGUAAGUCAGUUCUGAAGAGGAACAGUAUUCUAGUCUAGGCCUACCUGGGCAAAACCUCAUCUUUACACACACAUCCCAUCGAACAGGUCUAAUUGUGUUGGAAUCAAGAUUUAACAACUCAGACUUCAGUUUAAGUGCAAUUAAACACCCUCUGAGGAUGGAGCUUUAAGUUAAUUUUCAGCAACCAUAGGCUAUU